CCGCGGAGGCCGCGACCAGCCUGUUCGUGUGUGUGGCGGCGGCGCCAGAUCCGGCAUCCCUCGGGUACCCCGCCGCCGGAUCUGACCUCGCUCGGGAAGGUAGGCGCGGAUGUAAAGAAGAGCGUUUCCCGUAUCGUCGUUUGCUGUGAGUUGGCCUGGGGAGUUAGAUUUCUCUGGUGUUUUUUUGGUAACAAAAAGCUCUUUUACGAGCUAGGUUCAAGCUUCCCAUUGUUCUCAAUUGGCAAUGAAAGGCGUCACAUGGGGUGUUCACCACCGUCGACCGAGUCGUUCCUAUGAAAUGGAGGUUCAGCCAUUUGCAAAAAAAAGAAAAGAAAUGGAGGUGCAGCCAGACGCUGUCAGGGACUGGUCCGAGCUGCCCCUUGACGUGCUUGCUUUGGUCUUCGCCAAACUUGGCGCAGUCGAAGUCCUCAUGGGUGCAGGCCUUGUGUGCCACUCAUGGCUCGAGGCGGCAAAAGUGCCUAGCUUAUGGCGAUACGUUGACAUGGAGCACCAUGAGGUCUUGCGUGGAAAGAAGAAAAAGACGCGGGAUGUCUUGUGCGCAAUGGCAAAAGCGGCCGUUGACCGCUCCAAUGGAGAGCUUGAGGUGUUCGCAGGGAGCGAGUUCGUUACCGAUGAUCUUCUCAAGUAUAUUGCAGAAAGAUCUUCCUCCCUUAAGAGCCUCAGUCUCGACUAUUGCAAUGUUUCGAAUGAAGCAUUCACUGAGCUGAUAAUCAAGUUGCCUCUUCUCGAAGAACUUCUCAUUUCCUUAUGUCCAUUUGUUGACGGCGACGCAUAUGAGAUCACCAGCAGAGCAUGCGCGCAACUGAAGCGUCUCAUGUUACGCCAAGGGUCGUAUGGCGGCGAGAGAGAGGGGCCACUUGGAAUAGAGUUUAUGCAGGAGCUGCGAUACCUUACUCUCGUCGGAAGUGAUAUCACGACGGAGGAGCUGGUUGCCAUCAUCGAUGGCUGCCCUCACUUGGAGCGCCUUUGUGUGCGCAACUGUUGCAACAUCGUUGUCGAUGGAGCACUGCGAGCGAAAUGUUCGAGGAUCAAGACUCUGAUUCUUCCCACUUUGCAGUGCCGCCGUAUCCAUUUUCAUCCUGAUGAUGGCAUUUUCACUGACAAGUUUGACGAUUGGAGGUCUGCUUAAAUGUGAUGGUUCAUCUUGAAUGGCUGCUAGCGAUCUAUGUAUGUACUGAUCUUGCAUGGCUGUGUUUUGUCAUGUGGGAUAUGGAUGGAUGGGUUCAGGUGGUUAUUGGCACUGCUACUCUGUGAUAUUGCUACUACAGUCCAAAUAAGGAGGCAAGGUCUCCGUUUUCUGGUGUUCCAAGAAGUUCCCAGGUGUGCGCAUGCAGUGUUCACACCUAGGUCACGAGCUACUUCAAGGUUGUGCGCUGCAUCCAGCAAUGCUCACACAACACCAUCACUAAUGCCGUGGCGUCACCCUCCUGUCCUGUGCUGUCGCAACACCAUCAUUCCUUCUGAGCCGUCCUUUUUUCUGUUCGAUUAGUAGAACAUUUUGGAAUAAAUAACCAUUCUUCAUUAAUGUACUGUACUGCCUUAUGAUUAGCAGUGGCAUGGUUCUUUUCGAUGUGUAAGCUGCGAGUGCCUUUGAUCAUUUGGACAUGUGGUUGUAUGCCUGUAAAACCUAACUGCUUGGAUGCUGAAUAGCAGAGGAGAAGAGAUUGUAUGGGUUGAUGAUUC